rnacentral:rRNA from 1 species
CCCGCACAAGCGGUGGAGCAUGUGGUUUAAUUCGACGCAACGCGAAGAACCUUACCUGGGUUUGACAUCCCGAUCGUACUCUAUGGAAACAUAGGGGUCAGUUCGGCUGGAUCGGUGACAGGUGGUGCAUGGUUGUCGUCAGCUCGUGUCGUGAGAUGUUGGGUUAAGUCCCGCAACGAGCGCAACCCCUAUUGUUAGUUGCCAUCAUUCAGUUGGGCACUCUAGCGAGACUGCCGGUAAUAAACCGGAGGAAGGUGGGGAUGACGUCAAAUCAUCAUGCCCCUUAUGACCUGGGCUACACACGUGCUACAAUGGUUGGUACAACGAGUUGCGAGUCGGUGACGGCGAGCUAAUCUCUUAAAGCCAAUCUCAGUUCGGAUUGUAGGCUGCAACUCGCCUACAUGAAGUCGGAAUCGCUAGUAAUCGCGGAUCAGCACGCCGCGGUGAAUACGUUCCCGGGCCUU